ACUGUUAAUUUUUUUAUUUUAACUCUGCAAGUCAGUUGAGAACAAAUUCUUAUUUACAAUGACCGCCUAACCUGGCCAAACCCUAUCCCAGACGACGCUGGGCCAAUUUUGUGCCGCCCUAUGGGACUCCCAAUCACGGGCCUGUUGUGAUACACCCUGAAAUCAAACCAGGGUCUGUAGUAGGGAUGCACCGACAUUACAUUUUUGCCGAUACGAUAUCCAAUAUUCUCCUUGCUAAAAAAACAAUACCGGUAACCAAUAUUUCACAUUUUUAUGACGUUUUUAAGCAUUAUAGUACAGUUAAAUUGUUGAAACACACACACUAACCAAAAAGUAAUUUUGUUUGCAUUUACAUAUGUCCCCAUUACAAGUAAAACAUAAUCAAAACCGAUUUCUUUCACUUACUUGCUGUGUUGUUUCGUUGUUCAGUCGUUUCAUUCUCAACCAAGAUUUCAUCAUACAUGUCAAGCAGUGAAGUUUCAGCUCUGUCUGUCCAUGGUCUCGCUUCCCCGGUGCGCACUGUCACUGUCCGUUUCUAUCUUGUCCAGCUGUGUCUAACAUUUCACGUAAUCCCCGUUUCUUGUCUGCAUCAAAGUAGCAGUCCUUGUACCCACCGACUCGCUUGUUCACAGCCUCUGGUCGAGUACUUUUCAAGUUUUAACUGCCGACACAGACUGGGUCUUUGUUGAGCAGACGUUUCAAUGCAAUGACAGAGGGUAUCACGCCUGCUGCAGACGCAGUUAAGUAGCUUAUUUCUUGAGUCAGUUGUUCAAAUAGCGCUAGGAGUGUGUUCCAUGUUUCAAACAUGUUCUCAAAUGCCAUUGAAAUGUCAGCAGUGGUAUGAGAACCAGCACAUUCUUGAGCAUGCAAUAUGACUUUCCUCAGUACGAAAUCCGCGUCGACCCACUGUGCUGUCAGACUCAGCACGCUCAUGGAGCUGCCGUCGCUGGUCCAAAUGUCAGUCGGGAAGCUAAUAGCAGUGACGCCCAUAGCAAGUAGUUCAAGGAUGUGCGUUUCUCCGGUAGGGCAACAUCUGAAAGAUAACGCCUACUUGGUAGUGUGUACGGCGAAAGCCAACAUCAUCCACGACAGAGGACUGUUGAUCGUCAAGGGCAAUGAAUUCCAUUAUCUUGGUGUUAAUGGAUUUCUCCUUUGAAUUGUCUUGCUGAAAUGUUCUUACUCUUUCAAAUGACUGCUUGACUUGAACGUGUUUAGUUGUUGGAAGUGUGCACAUAGUUUGUUUUCUGCUUUUGUUCUAAGUAGUCGCUGAACGUCUGGAGAUGAUGCACUUUUAAAUGAGUAAUUCGGUUUGUGGUAUGGAAAGAUUUCACUUUCUCCCCUCUGGUAAUAACAGCAGCACAAAUGUUGCAUUUGGCCUUUUUGUUAUCUUCCUUUGAAACUUCAAAAUAGAUCCACACAGCAGACAUGGGCUAGGUUAGGAAUGCUGUGUUGCACGUGUACUUCUGUAUUGUUCGUGCCGUCAUUGCGUUAUAUAGGUAUGCACAUCAGCUUUGACAUCGGUUUUGCACGUUGACGUUAAAUUAGACAUCGGGCCGAUGUUGGCAUUUUUAGUUAAUAUCAUCCUAUUCCAAUAUGCUUACCGAUAUAGCGUGCAUCCCUAGUCUACUGACGCUCGUGGCACUGAUAUGCAGUGCCAUAGACCACUGCGCUUCUCGGGAACCCAAGUGCGUUUCCAGAGCUUCUGUCCACAUCUGUAGCUGAUCACUGUGGUUGAUGUCAUGCGGAUGUGGUCCCUCCCCUGGUCUGUAGUUAACAGAGUGGAGUAGGCUAGUGUGACUACUGUCUCACUGGAGAGACCACUUAACUACCAGAUCUCAUUACCAAACAGGCUACUCAUUAUCAAUUCAAUUCUCCAAAUGUCAGGUUAAAAAAUAUAUUUUUUUUUAAAUUAAAAAAUAUUUUUUUACUACACCGCUACUCCUAAUUGAGUUCCUCUGUUCACUAUAUGAUAUUUUUAGAGACUGAGAGGGAACAAGAGUCUGCUUUCUCUUCCCUCCCUCUCUCUUUGUCACCACGCCUACCUCUGGCCAGACAAUGUCCUUUUUGUGUGUGCAUUCCUGGCCCCUAUGCACUAGCACAGAAAGACCCUGCACCCUGUGUCUGUGUGUGGGGACGCUAAACCUUGGCCCUGCACUCUGCCCCUUUUGAUACCACUACCUCUUCUCUGGCCAGUCACACAGCAUGGCCAGUCACACAGCAUGGCCAGUCACACAGCAUGGCCAGUCACACAGCAUGGCCAGUCACACAGCAUGGCCAGUCACACAGCAUGGCCAGUCACACAGCACGGCCAGUCACACAGCACGGCCAGUCACACAGCACGGCCAGUCACACAGCACGGCCAGUCACACAGCACGGCCAGUCACACAGCACGGCCAGUCACACAGCACGGCCAGUCACACAGCACGGCCAGUCACACAGCACGGCCAGUCACACAGCAUGGCCAGUCACAUAGCAUGGCCAGUCACAUAGCAUGGCCAGUCACACAGCAUGGCCAGUCACACAGCAUGGCCAGUCACACAGCACGCAUGUGUGCCUGUGUGUGAGAGAGACUAUCAAUCAGGUCCCAGAUCCAGACUCCUGCUUUAAGCCUAGUCAAGAGACAUGUGUAAAUGGUUGGUUAGUAUACUGAACACGCAUCAAUGUAUUUCAGCUUAUACUUCAUUAGCGCAUUCAUUACAGAUUGUAGGGUGUUCACCCAUAAAAGGAUGAAUUCAUUCAAGGUUCAUACAAAUGUGUCCAUUCCAUAGAGAAUUCAGAAAAUAAAUCAUCCAAAACCCAUGUCUACCUUAUAUGGUUCAAACAUUACAGAAGAUUUACUCUGAGAUGUUUAGAGUGAAUAUAAUGUUAUCACUGGAAUGAUCAUGAAGUGCUGACUGCUCAAUAGAACUCGAACAUGCUGACCAGACCGCACACGCGCAAUUUGUCCCCCCACACCAGAAGUAAUCAGGACACCGGUUGAAAUAUCAAAACAAACUCUGAACCAAUUAUCUUAACUUGGGGACAGGUCGAAAAGCAUUAAACAUUUAUGGCAAUUUAGCUAGCUUGCUGUUUCUAGCUAGCUUGCUUGCUGUCUGAAUUGGAUAUAAAACAUUGGGUUGUUAUUUUACUUGAAAUGCAGAAGGUCUUCAACUCUGACAAUUAAUCCACAGAUAAAAGGAUAAUCCAACUGUUUCUAGCAAAUUCUCCUCCUUCAGGCUGCUUCUUCUUUGGACUUUAUAUGGUGGUUGGCAACCAACUUUUCUUUAAGGCGCAUUACCACCACCAACUCGACUGUGGACCUCAGUUCAUCUUUCAUUCACCCACGUGGGUAUAUGCUCCAAAAAAUCAAUGAGGUGAUGGCACGUGGGUAUAUGCUCCAAAAAAUCAAUGAGGUGAUGGCACGUGGGUAUAUGCUCCAAAAAAUCAAUGAGGUGAUGGCACGUGGGUAUAUGCUCCAAAAAAUCAAUGAGGUGAUGGCACGUGGGUAUAUGCUCCAAAAAAUCAAUGAGGUGAUGGCACGUGGGUAUAUGCUCCAAAAAAUCAAUGAGGUGAUGGCACGUGGGUAUAUGCUCCAAAAAAUCAAUGAGGUGAUGGCACGUGGGUAUAUGCUCCAAAAAAUCAAUGAGGUGAUGGCACGUGGGUAUAUGCCAAUGAGAAGAUGGAAGAGGCAUGACUUGCGUCACAAAUAGAAGCAAGUUCUAUUUUAGAUCCUGGCUACGCAGACGCUCACGAGCAGGGUGGGUGCAAUGAUAGAUAACAUGUGUAAAAAAAUAUAUAUAAUAAUAAUAAUCUACACUCGUGCAUGCGACCCGAGCAGUGUGGCCAGCUUGUAAAUGCGCUCAGCUUGUUAGUUGAAGUUACAUGCCAACUAGUGGCUGCAGGUUUGCGUGUGAAAACAGGCACUUUUUCUAAAUGAAAUCCGCUGAAUAAAAAACUAAAUAAGGACUAAAUAUAUAUUUAUUUACAAUAUUAAGAGGCUGAAUUUCAGUAUCCACCCUCCGCGAAGACAAUCUUUUCCUGUUUUUGUCUCUCCCUUUAAAUUGCCACCGAAACAACCUCUCUCAACAUAGUUUGAUUGCCAAUAUAGGCAAUGAAAGCAGUUGCAGUUGAAAAUGACAAGGGUAUCAAGUUGAUUUGAUUGGACAAACCAGUGGAAACACCUCCAAAUGGUACCACCUCACAACGCCAAAUAUGGACGAGAUACAACCAAGAGCAGCACAGUCUAAACUAGCAACGGUCACAGCAAAUUGAUGUUCUUAUUUCAUCAACACGGUCAAGUACAAGUAUAUUAGGUUUAUAAUAUUGUAGAGAACAAUCUAAUGAUUUAGUUCUGUGUAAUUUAUAAUGACAUUGGGCAAAGUAAAAUAUGUUUUGACAUUCAUUUCAUAGCACCCUCUUGAAUUGCCCCGUUUUUCUCUACAUUGUACAGCAGGUAGUGAAUGCCCUACAGAUGGUUUGUAUGUUAAUUUAGUGCACCAGGGGUUGAGUUUGUUAAAUUGGUCCACAGCCACAGUUCCCUUUAACUUAUACACAUCCUUACACAUCAAACCAAUUUUUGUAAAUCCUUAAACAGGAGUGAGCAAGUGCACACUUGGGUAGAGAAUCAGUCGGCAGUCUGUCUGUAGCAGUGUAACUGGAGGAUGCCCCCCCCCCCACCCCUCCC